GCAGAGCAUAGGACAUCACUUCUUGUUCCAACCAGAGUCCAAGCCUCACCUCAAGGGUAUGGAAAGUAUCCAACAGCUAUAAGAAGGAAGCGCACAGAUGUCCUGACUCUAACACGGCUGUGUGAUGCUGAGCAACUCACAUCCCCCUUCUGAACCUCAUCUCCUCCUCCAGCCAGCAAGCCACUGGGCCCAGCAUCAGCUUCUGACCUUGAGAUAAAUGAUUUCACCUUCCUGAGACUCUGGAGUGGACGUCUGUCGUAUCUGCUGCCUAGCAUCGCCUCCUCCUUCUUUAGAUAACAAGAUAACAGGUUUUUAUGAGUGCAGGAUCUACCUUCUACCUCUCUCAACCCAGGCGGUUCUGGUGAACGGGACUCCAUUCCUGGAUCCGGAGGUGGAUCAUGUGACCUGGGCCGUACCAGCCAGUUCACCUCAUCCUCGUGGCUUCAGCGAUUGGUUCAAGAUGGUCACAUGACCAACCCAGGCCAAUCAGCGUCAAGGGGAUCUAUUCCAAGACUUUUGCUUGAGUUGAAAUGACCAAGUGUCAAUAACCUGGGAGCAAUGACUCAAGAUCUGCAGGUGACGACAACACAGAGGACAGCAGAGCCAAUAGAGAGAGACUGGGUCCUGAUGUUACCAUUUGAACCCUGGCUGCAACUGGACUUGAAGCCAAAUCUAUGGGUGGAUGUUUCAGUUUCGAAAGCAAAUAAAUUAAUUUCUUUUGCUUAA